GACGAACGCUGGCGGCGUGCUUAACACAUGCAAGUCGAACGGAAAGGCCCUGCUUUUGUGGGGUGCUCGACUGGCGAACGGGUGAGUAACACGUGAGUAACCUGCCCUUGACUUUGGGAUAACUUCAGGUAACUUGGGCUCAUACCGGAUAUGAGCUCCUGCUGCAUGGUGGGGGUUGGAAAGUUUCGGCGGUUGGGGAUGGACUCGCGGCUUAUCAGCUUGUGGGUGGGGUAUUUGCUUACCAAGGCUUUGACGGGUAGCCGGCCUGUGAGGGUUGACGGCCACAUGGGGACUGAGAUACGGCGCAGACGCCAACGGGAGACAGCAGUGGGGAAUAUUGCACAAUGGGCGGAAGCCUGAUGCAGCAACGCCGCGUGCGGAAUGACGGCCUGCGGGUUGUAAACAGCUUUCGCCUGUGACGAAGGGUGAGUGACGGUAAUGGGUAAAGAAGCACCGGCUAACUACGUG
rnacentral:rRNA from 1 species